AAUGAACGCUGGCGGCGUGCCUAAUACAUGCAAGUCGAGCGAACAGACGAGGAGAUCUCUCUUCUGACGUUAGCGGCGGACGGGUGAGUAACACGUGGAUAACCUACCUAUUAGACUGGGGUAACUUCGGGAGAACGGAUCUAAUAACGGCUCAUAUAUUGAACCGGUUGGAUCAUUAGUGCUUGAGGGUUUUGCUGACACUAUUAGCUGGUUUCGCGUCGGAUUAGCUAGUUGGUAAGGUAACGGCUUACCAAGGCGACGAUGCGUAGCUGAACUGAGAGGAUGAUCAGCCACACUGGAACUGAGACACGGUCCAGACUCCUACGGGAGGCAGCAGUGGGGAAUAUUCCACAAUGGGCGAAAGCCUGACGCAGCCACGCCGCGUGAGUGAAGAAGGUCUUCGGAUCGUAAAACACUUUUAUUAGGGAAGAACAGAAGUAUGAGAAACUAUGGACGUCUUGACGGUACCUAAACAAAAAGCAACGGCUAACUUCGUG
rnacentral:rRNA from 1 species